rnacentral:siRNA from 1 species
UGUCAUGUUCCUCGUUCUACCCUC